UGGCUACACUGGGCAAAGGGAUGUCUCUUAUCUUGGAUGGGAACAGGACAGUGUGAGAUUUUUACCAUGCUUCUAAGAUUGGCACGGCAUUUUAAAUGACUAAGGAGUUGUGGGUUCAUCUAAACUCAUUUGGCUGAUAGAAGAACAGUGGAGGUCCUGCACACAGCAAGCACCAGGCUCAGAGGCAAGGGGACUGCGGAGUUUUCAGGAACUAUGAAGAAGCUUUGGAGAGAAGAGAAAUGACAGGAGGAAUGUUUCAAGCUAGAAGAAGCUGCUACAUAACAGCAAAGACUCAGCAUGGGUGGAUGGACAAAGAAAAAACUGGUUCAUCUUGAGAGUUAGACAGUUUCAAUUGGGAUAAUGAUGAAGUUUCUUUUGCCUUAAUCCUUUUGAACAAUGAGACAACAACGAUGACGACGAUGACACCACCACCACCACCAACAACAACAACUCUAUGUGGGGCCAGAGAGCUAUGGGACUGAGAGGAGCAGCCGUGGAGCAAGAGUGGGGUGGAGGCAAUUCAAACCCCUGAAAUCUCAUCCUGAGAUCUGUAGAAGUAGGAAUACUGCCGCCUCUGCCCCAGGCCUGUAUGUACCUGUGCACGCAGUCCAGUGCCCCCCACCCUUACCUUACCAGAGGAGGUCAAGUAGCCAGUGGCCAAUUUAAACUUCCUUUCCCCUUAUAAGUCAUGUGCAGCAGCACCUGGAAUUCCUCCUUAUGCAAAUGAGGCAUCCCCAGCCAAUGAGGUACACUCACCCUGAUAGCCCGCCCCUCAAAGCUUUUUUCCUCCUUCCACAAUAAACUGAAUCAGUCUCUGAAGCUAA
rnacentral:lncRNA from 1 species